UUCCUACAGAACCAUUGCGGUAUAUAGUGGAAAUUUUAGUACCGAUGGAACGCCAGCUGUUGUGAUGAAUUAUGAUUUUCCAGGACAAACACAGAAACUUUAUUUCAGGCUGAAUUAUACUACGCCAGAAACGUACAACUGCAGUGUUUUCGUCACGACUAUUAAAACUAUAACGCAGACAUGGUGGUGUGAUAUGUACGUACGAGGAGGACUUACAGAAUGUACUUUUCCACCUGUGGAAUGCGAAAAUGCCUUCCUUAGAGCUUGCCCGAACGGAAGAUAUACAAAGUACUACAGUUGGAACUGCACUGCAGCCUAUACGAAUAUUACAAGUGAUCUCUAAAUGUGCGAGAUAAAUUACUUUCAUCAUUGCUUCUUCA